AACGAACGCUGGCGGCAGGCUUAACACAUGCAAGUCGAGCGGAGUUGUGGUGCUUGCACCAUAACUUAGCGGCGGACGGGUGAGUAAUGCUUAGGAAUCUGCCUAUUAGUGGGGGACAACAUCUCGAAAGGGAUGCUAAUACCGCAUACGUCAUACGGGAGAAAGCAGGGGACCUUCGGGCCUUGCGCUAAUAGAUGAGCCUAAGUCGGAUUAGCUAGUUGGUGGGGUAAAGGCCUACCAAGGCGACGAUCUGUAGCGGGUCUGAGAGGAUGAUCCGCCACACUGGGACUGAGACACGGCCCAGACUCCUACGGGAGGCAGCAGUGGGGAAUAUUGGACAAUGGGGGGAACCCUGAUCCAGCCAUGCCGCGUGUGUGAAGAAGGCCUUUUGGUUGUAAAGCACUUUAAGCGAGGAGGAGGCUACUGGUAUUAACACUACCGGAUAGUGGACGUUACUCGCAGAAUAAGCACCGGCUAACUCUGUGCCAGCAGCCGCCGUAAAAC
rnacentral:rRNA from 1 species